UUUUUAAUCGUAGGUUUUUAAAUUAGUAAAAUAUUGCUUGUGCCCUGAUGUCUGAAGAGUAUUUAAACCAUCUACCUGAUGCCCAGAAAGAAUUCAAGCUUGUUUGUGAGCAGAAAAGCAGGAAUCUCAAGGAAUGAGCAAAUGAACUCUGGAAAUUCACGGUUAUGAACUCUGAACUGUGGAAAUUCAAAUGGACUCUGGAAAGAAAUUCAAGGUUAUUCUGAGAAAUUGAUUUCCCAAUCUUCCUAAAAAAAGAGAAUGAUUACUAGAGAGUGAUUACUACUUACUGAAGAGAAUUAUUUCGCGAAUAGUCUUCUCCGUUUCUCGUGAUGUUUCUUGUUUUGUAUCUUUGAAUGUUUCUUGUACCUUUUUAUGUGUUAGUAUUGUUUGUUUUUGUAUUUGAAAAUUUGAGAAAACGUAGAAAGUAGUACUCUUUUUUGAGCUUCAGUUAGACUAAUAUAUUUUGUUGUUUCUUUCAGUUAUAAAUUAAUAAUUUUUAUAACUUUCGAAGUAAUUGUAUUUAUUAUGAAUUUAUAAAUAUUAUCAACUAUUAUAUGAUUCAGAGUGUAAAAUCUGAACAGAAUCUGAUAUUCAGAAUGUAAUAUCUGUUCUUUUUAUAUUUAAAUAUUUGAGAAAACAUAGAAAGUAGUACUCUUUUUGA